UAAAACUCAUUAGAUUUAUUGCUCUUCAAUGCUGGAUUUUUAGGUGGCUAUCAGCCGCUUGUGUGGCCGUCCAACUGACUGAUUGACUUACUGGCUGAACUGUUUGGAAAACGACUCAUUGGCUCGCAUCAGGAAUAGUAAGUUUUGGAGGCGUUACAGCUAUGGAAAUGGGUGCAGCUCCAAUGCAGUGAUUUGUCACAGAUAAUUGCAGUAUUAAAAUGUGAAAUCGACUCAAUUGUAUUGUUAAUUUCAUGCAUUGUUCAGCGAAAAUGGCCAGAUACCACUCGAUGACUCACGCUAAGACUACUUUAAAAGAAUGACAAGAAAUUUUAAGAGCAUUGCAUAAAAAGCGAUCCUGGAACCAUUUAUAGUUUACCUAUAUCCAGAUGUACCUCCACACGUAACAGGAAAGGAAAAAGAAAUUGUAAAAAAACAACGUAAACAAAAUGAAUGAUUGUACCUAAAUUGAAGGGAUUGUACCUAAUGCAAGUUUUACACUUGCUACCGACGUUUUACACCUGGCUUACAAGCAUGAAUGUGUUCCGCUCUUAAAACAAAAACGCAGCUGCCUCAAAUAAGAUUUUGAACUAGUGAUCAACUACCUAUGGCGAAAUUCAUGUGAAUGGCUUCAUAAAAUACAUUUAUCUCGACUGAGAUUUCUGAGACUAUAUAAUUAUGAGCACCUCACUAAAAGCCGUAAGUUUAACAUACUGCCCACAUCACUCAUCAAAAUGAAUGCGUGUUUUUUACAUAUCCAUAGGCAUACAAUCACGCAUACGCAUUUGUUUAUACACAAAAUACAGAGGUGUACGUAAUACUAGAUGCAUUGAUGUGCAACAUUCUUAUAACAAUACGAACGUAUGUAUGUAGGAUGUAUAUCCAUACUCAUGUAUCCAUGUAUGAAUACAAACAUUCAAAAAAAAAAAACGAAAAUACUACAACACGCCAUGAAAAUGUGUAAAAGUAUGUACUGUUAGCUAUGGUUUUGUAUGUACAUAUGUAUGUAUGAAGUUGCUUGCGACAAUCACCUGCUAUACUGGCCAGUUGCCUACAACGGAAAACACUUGUCCACUGGACAUUGUUUCUUGGCAAUUCCGUUUCUCGGCAGACUAUUGCCCUGUUGCAUCCACAUGAAUGCAGCAACGAGCUACUAAGUGGGGAACAAAGUACCGCAUAAGCUAAAAGCAACUCUCAACAUAGCAAAAACAAAUUUAAAGAUAGUAUAACGCAAAGUGAAACAGAAAAAACUUAAUAAAUAAAAACGCAUACAAAAAUAAAAGUGAGAAACAACAGCAGCACAACCAGCCCGCAGUUACUCAUACGCUCUGUGCACAUAUACACCAAUGUAUUUACAAUCGAUUAUAUUCCCAUACAGUGUUGCCACGAACAAAUUUUUUUUCCUACCAAGGCCAACCAAAACCGACCAAAAAUUUUUGAAGUUUUGAAAUU